rnacentral:rRNA from 1 species
UACGGGAGGCAGCAGUGGGGAAUAUUGCACAAUGGGCGAAAGCCUGAUGCAGCUAUGCCGCGUGUAUGAAGAAGGCCUUAGGGUUGUAAAGUACUUUCAUCGGGGAGGAAAAAACAAAACUAAUAAUUUUAUUUCUUGACGUUACCCGAAAAAGAAGCACCGGCUAACUCCGUGCCAGCAGCCGCGGUAAUACGGAGGGUGCUAGCGUUAAUCAGAAUUACUGGGCGUAAAGAGCACGUAGGUGGUUUUUUUAAAGUCAGAUGUGAAAUCCCUGGGCUUAACCUGGAACUGCAUUUUGAAACUGAAAUACUAGAGUAUCGUAGAGGGAGGUAGAAUUCUAGGUGUAGCGGUGAAAUGCGUAGAUAUCUGGAGGAAUACCUGUGGCGAAAGCGGCCUCUAACGAAUCUGACACUGAGGUGCGAAAGCGUGGGGAGCAAACGAGGGAUUAGGAUACCCGU